rnacentral:pre_miRNA from 1 species
CUACUACUCCCUCCGUUCUGAAUUACUUGUCUUGGAUUUAUCUAGAUACGGAGGUAUCUAGCACUAAAAUGAGUCUAGAUAUAUCCGUAUCUAGACAAAUCCAAGACAAGUAAUUCGGAACGGAGGGAGUACGAG